GACUGGUUUCGCCUUGCCUUACGCUCAUCAGGAGAAUGACUCCAGUUCCCAACCAGUG
rnacentral:hammerhead_ribozyme from 1 species